GGGCCCGUAGCUCAGCCAGGUUGGAGCGCCCGGCUGAUAACCGGGAGGUCCCGGGUUCAAAUCCCGGCGGGCCCACCA
rnacentral:tRNA from 2 species